AUCUUGGAGGCUGAGCGGCGGUAGCGGCGGCGAGGCUGCUUGCGGCGGGUGCGGUGGGCCGAGUCCCAGCGCGGGUGCGGCUCACGGCGCGGGCCCCACUCUUCCGCACCCUGCUCUGGCCUCGACCACGGCGAACCUGAACGCGGCCGCGGCCUCAGGGAGAGGUGAGCGCUCGCGGGCUGCGCGGGGCCUCGGGCCGCUCGUUCGCCCCGCCGGAGCCGGCUGCAGCGGCGGGCGGGGACGCGGGGACGCCACACGUCGGGUCCCGUUGGUUACGUCGCCGGCUGUGCCCGGACCCGAGGUCGGUUACUGAGGGCGCUCGGGGUUCCUGUCGGGGGCGGGUUAGGGGUUUUGUUUGCCGCGCGGCGGAUUCUCUCACGGACGCUCGGAAGACUCCGAGGAGGAGCCAGGUUUGAUCUUUAAAAAAACGUAUCCCGUGAGUUUGUUGUGGGGUGGUAGCCGUUGAGUGGCCCCCUUUCAUCGCGAUCAGUUAGAACCCCAGGCUGCUUAAUAGACCCCAACAGGGGCGAGCGUGUCCGCGGUUACGCCCUUGAGGGUAAUGCAACAAAACCUUGGGCAGUAAGAGUGGGGCUUGGGCCCGUUUCGGGGGUCGGGGUGAGGACGGCCGAUGCUUAUUCUCCACCUCUGCUAACUGCGGACUCUCAGCCAGUGACCUCACUUCCUUCUUAGUGGACAUCAUCACUUAGCUGUGUGUUUAACCUCAGUCAAGCUCUCAACGUCAUCAGAUCCAGAUAGACCAGGAAGAGAAAAGAGCAGAGUUCACUGUAAGCUAACAAGUGCAUAAGAAUGUACCUUUCUGCAAGUAGUGAUACAGGGCUUUAUUCAUGGCCAGGUGUGUGUAAUGGGGGGGGAAAAAGGAUUUUAGGAUUGUAUUUCAUUAUAAAGUCCCGCGUAUGAUCUUCAGCCGGAGAUAGGUCUAGGUUCCUAGAACUUGGAGUCAGUCCUCUGCAACAUCAUUGUCUUCCUGUACUCGGCGUCAGUUCAGUUCUCGGUGUGUGUGAGAAAGUGGUGCUAAGGCUGUUUAUUGUGAGCUUCUGGCUUCCUUCAGCCCGUGGAGUAAUCCUGGAGAAGGUAAAACUCCCUGAAAAUCCUGGCCUUGGGUGUGUCAUGUGCCCUUCUGACCAUCUGUCAGGCCAAGGUCUUAAUUCCCCACCGUCACCUAACCUGUGUGGAGUGUUGUGGGAGAGAGAUGUCC
rnacentral:lncRNA from 1 species